CGCCCUACGGGAGGCAGCAGUGAGGAAUAUUGGUCAAUGGUCGGGAGACUGAACCAGCCAAGCCGCGUGAGGGAGGAAGGUACAGAGUAUUGUAAACCUCUUUUGUCAGGGAACAAAGGCGGGGACGUGUCCCCGGAUGAGUGUACCUGAAGAAAAAGCAUCGGCUAACUCCGUGCCAGCAGCCGCGGUAAUACGGAGGAUGCGAGCGUUAUCCGGAUUUAUUGGGUUUAAAGGGUGCGCAGGCGGAGGUGCAAGUCAGCGGGCAAAUUUCGGGGCUCAACCCC
rnacentral:rRNA from 1 species